UUGAUUAGUAAAAAUAUAUCAUAAUUUUAUUCAUAGUAUUUUUAAUAUUAUUGAUAUAUAAAAAUUUAUAUAUUUAUCAUCAUUUAAUUUUAUAAUAUAUUGAGUACAUUUAUACUUUUGAUAUAUUUUAUAUCGGUGGUUAACGUUCAAAAUUGAGCUUUUUUCGCUGUUGUUGAGGGGAUUUGAACCCCCAACAAAAGGUUCAACAUGCAUCCCCAUCU
rnacentral:lncRNA from 1 species